ACUCCCUCUCCUCCGGGAGGCGCGCUUUCCGCCGCCUUGCUGGCGCCGCCGCGCCGACUUUGAAAUCCGUUGGAAAGUUUCGUGUCUGGCGUUGGUAAGGCGCGCGUUAGCCGUCGUCGCUCGUCCGUUUGACGGUGCGCGCUCGCUGUGUGCUUGUGCGACGCGAUGUUUUACGACUCGGGAUGUUUGUGCAUAGUGCUUUGUUGCUCGAAUACUUCCAGAACAAGUCCCGGAAUAUAUGUGCCGGCCCCCAAAAGAACAACAGGGCGGAAGCGUUUUUAAAGUACUCCGGAACGCCACACAGCUGAUUGGUGCGCCCAGAGAAAAGCUGAAGAAUUGCAGAAUCGGCGCAUUUCAAGAAGAGAUGCCAUGAAUCCUCCGAUAUCAUCUGUUCAUUUUCUUCGCGUUUAUCAUCACUAGUUUUAUGAAAAUCAACGUUUUUGGAAAUGUAGUCAAUAAAGUGCGGCCAAUAUUAGUUGUGGUAUAUGUGGAGUUCGUUUUCACAUCUUUAAAAUGAUCUUUACAUGAUUAUUCUAUUUUUAGGUAUUCAACUGCUUUCAUUGUUUUUGCAUUGCAGUGAAUGUUCAAUUUUGUUAGUUAUGAUAAUUUUGUGCAAUAUCGUGCGCAUAUAUCAGAAGCUCUUCCGCACUUUUGUCAGUAUAAAAAUUGUUUUUUAUUAUGUGCCCUAAUGUUAUGCUGUUUUUUAUUCCACUGUUCUUUAAGUUCUUAACUUUGCCGAUACUUUUCGCGUUGUUUAGUGGUCAUGAACACGUCUAUGUGAAUCUCCUGUUCAUCACUUCUGUUAAUCUCCUGAACCUCUGUCGCACCACAUUUGAUGAAAAUGUUGAUUUUCGGAAACGAGGACAAUAAAACGAGACCAAAGAUA